GAAGUAAAAGUCGUAACAAGGUUUCCGUAGUGAACCUGCGGAAGGAUCAUUAAUAAUUUUUUUAGGUUGAAAUACGAAACCUAAAAUAUAAUAUCUACCUUUGUGAAUUUGUUGUUUGAAAUAUUUUUUAAAAAAAUUAUUUAUAGUUUUGUCUAUCCUGAGUUGUAAGAGAAGUAAAAUUCUUUGAAAGCUUAGGAAUAGGCUUUAUCUAUAAUAAUAUUUUAAAGACCUUUUUUUAAUUAACUUUUUGUAUUCAUUGUCAAAUUUUUUUAAUAAUUUAAAACAACUUUGACAAUGAUCUCUUGGUUCUCGCAACGAUGAAGAACGCAGCAAAAUGCGAUAAGUAAUGUGAAUUGCGAAUACGUGAAUCAUCAAAUCUUCGAACGCAUAUUGCACUUUUUUAGUUUACUAAAAAAGUAUGUCUGUUUGAGUAUCAGUAAAUAUUCUCAUAAAAAUUUAUUUUUUAUGGUUUGAGUGUUUUACAACGAUACAAGUGUUUCACUUUAAUUGACUUUAAAUUGCUAUUAAUUUAGUCAAUUUUUAAAUUGCAUAAAAUUUCCCGUAAAAGGAAUAACCUAUCAUUUUAAAUAACUGAUAUUAAAGCCUUGAUAAAAGAAAUUAAUUAAAUAACUUGAUCUCAAAUCAGAUAAGAGUACCGCUGAACUUAAGCAUAUCAAUAAGCGGAGGAAAAAAACUAACAAGGAUUCCCUAGUAACGGCGAGUGAAGCGGGAAGAGCUCAAAUUGAAAUCUUCAAGGUUUGACCUUGACGAAUUGUAGUUUAAAGAAGUGUUUUCGGUUAGAGGAUGGUAAAGUUCUUGGAAUAGGACAUCAUAGAGGGUGAGAAUCCGUAUUUGACCAUUCUUUCUAGCUUGUGAUACACUUUCAAAGAGUCGGAUGUUUGGGAAUGCAGUCCAAAAUGGGUGGUAAAUUUCAUCUAAAGCUAAAUAUUGGCGAGAGACCGAUAGCGAACAAGUACCGUGAGGGAAAGAUGAAAAGAACUUUGAAAAGAGAGUUAAACAGUACGUGAAAUUGUCAAAAGGGAAGCGUUUGACACCAGUGUUGUUUUCCGAAAAUCAAUUAAAAUGGAUUCAUGCAAGUUGUAUUGACCUUAUCAGCUUGCAAUUUGUUUUGGGUUCUUUUUUGAUGCACUUUCGGUUAACAAGUCAACAUCAAUUUCCUUUGCUGUAAAAGGCAGAAGGAGUGGCUUCAAUUUCGGUUGAAGUGUUUAUAGCCUUUGUCUCUGCAUCGGGGAGAUUGAGGUCUGCAGCGUAGAUCCUUCGGGUUAGAUACAUUCGUGCUAAUUAUAG
rnacentral:misc_RNA from 1 species